UUUUUUUUCUGGCUUUACAGUAUCUCCUGUAUGACUCAAGGUCCCCUGUUGAACAUUCGGUGGCCUGAUUUGAGGAUCUAUACGCAAAGAUGAUAAAAGAUUUAUCAAAUUAGCCCAGGUUUGAGAAAUGCUGUCAUACAUGUUGGUGGGAACGAAAAUUGCAAACACCUGAAAGUUUGUCUCCAACAAGAUCGCAAGUGUUAUCCAACAUAAAACAUUAUGAAGACAAAACCUGAGCAAAAGAGACUUUACUGAAUUAAGAAAAUGUCCUCAUCAAGACAUUUUAAGGCUGGAGACAGUGACAUGUGCAUGUAGUCCCAUCUACUUGGGAGGCUAAGAAAAGAAGAUGUCUGGGUCCAGGAGUUCAAGACCAGCCUGUGCAACACACUCAG